rnacentral:rRNA from 1 species
UACGGAGGAUCCGAGCGUUAUCCGGAUUUAUUGGGUUUAAAGGGUGCGUAGGCGGCCUGUUAAGUCAGGGGUGAAAGACGGUAGCUCAACUAUCGCAGUGCCCUUGAUACUGAUGGGCUUGAAUGUACUAGAGGUAGGCGGAAUGUGACAAAUAGCGGUGAAAUGCAUAGAUAUGUCACAGAACACCAAUUGCGAAGGCAGCUUACUAUGGUAUUAUUGACGCUGAGGCACGAAAGCGUGGGGAUCAAACAGG